CGCCACCAUCGCUUCCCCGAUUCAGGAGGUCAAGGAGGACGCCACCAUCGCUUCCCCGAUUCAGGAGGUCGAGGAAGACGCCACCUUCGCUUCCCCGAUGCAGGAGGUCGCCACCUCAGCUGAGGAGAUAUAGACUUUGUAAAAUUGGUUAGACGCAGAGUUGCGUCAAUAGACCCUCCCCUCCCCGAUAAAGGAGGUCGAGUCAGUCGCCACCCAGGUUCAGGAGGUCGAGGAGGACGCCACCCUCGCUUCCCCGAUUCAGGAGGUCGAGGAAGACGCCGCCACCCCUGUUCAUUUGGUCCCGCAGAAUUGUUCUGAUUGGUUGGAACGCGAUUUUCACAAUGCUUUAAUGGAGUCACUCGCCUCCCCGGAGGUCGAGGAGGACGCCACCCUCGCUUCCCCGGUUUAGGAGGUCGAGGAGGACGCCACACAGGUCCAGUAGGUCCAGCAGAAUCGUUCUAAUUGGUUGGAACGCGAUUUUCACAAUGCUUUAAUGGAGUCACUCGCCUCCCCGGAGGUCGAGGAGGACGCCACCCUCGCUUCCCCGGUUUAGGAGGUCGAGGAGGACGCCACACAGGUCCAGUAGAUCCAGCAGAAUCGUUCUAAUUGGUUGGAACGCGAUUUUCACAAUGCUUUAAUGGAGUCACUCGCCUCCCCGGAGGUCGAGGAGGACGCCACCCUCGCUUCCCCGGUUUAGGAGGUCGAGGAGGACGCCACACAGGUCCAGUAGGUCCAGCAGAAUCGUUCUAAUUGGUUGGAACGCGAUUUUCACAAUGCUUUAAUGGAGUUACUCGCCUCC